rnacentral:rRNA from 1 species
AUUGAACGCUGGCGGCAGGCCUAACACAUGCAAGUCGAGCGGAUGAAGGGAGCUUUCUCCUGGAUUCAGCGGCGGACGGGUGAGUAAUGCCUAUGAAUCUGCCUGGUAGUGGGGGAUAACGUCCGGAAACGGGCGCUAAUACCGCAUACGUCCUGAGGGAGAAAGUUGGGGAUCUUCGGACCUCACGCUAUCAGAUGAGCCUAGGUCGGAUUAGCUAGUUGGUGGGGUAAAGGCCUACCAAGGCGACGAUCCGUAACUGGUCUGAGAGGAUGAUCAGUCACACUGGAACUGAGACACGGUCCAGACUCCUACGGGAGGCAGCAGUGGGGAAUAUUGGACAAUGGGCGAAAGCCUGAUCCAGCCAUGCCGCGUGUGUGAAGAAGGUCUUCGGAUUGUAAAGCACUUUAAGUUGGGAGGAAGGGCAGUAAGUUAAUACCUUGCUGUUUUGACGUUACCAACAGAAUAAGCACCGGCUAACUUCGUG